rnacentral:rRNA from 1 species
UACGGGGGGGGCAAGCGUUGUUCGGAAUUACUGGGCGUAAAGGGCUCGUAGGUGGCCAACUAAGUCAGACGUGAAAUCCCUCAGCUUAACUGGGGAACUGCGUCUGAUACUGGAUGGCUUGGAUUCGGGAGAGGAAUGCGGAAUUCCAGGUGUAGCGGUGAAAUGCGUAGAUAUCUGGAGGAACACCGGUGGCGAAGGCGGCAUCCUGGACCAACACUGACGCUGAGUGAGCGAAAGCCAGGGGAGCAAACGGG